rnacentral:lncRNA from 11 species
AUGGCCUCGUAGUUUCUUACAGAUCAUAUCUGACAGUUCUGGAUCUCCAGGAUAAAUGGCAAUUUGAUACCUUCCAGCAAUGAAUACAUUCUAUAGCUAUGAAUCAUCAUCAGUAAUUCAAUCACAUGGAAACAAGAAAAAGGAAUAAGAAAUAGGUUGUUGGGUGGGUGAGAGGAAAGAAAGAAAGCAAGUGCUUUGCUUUCAUCUUACAAGCAGCUACUUGAAGAACAGCCCUCAACUUGACAUAGUUCCACACAACUCAAGAUGGAAACUGGGGUUUAUGCCUGAGCAAAAUCAGCAUGUGAUCAAGAAAGAAAACGUAACUGAGGAAGAACAUAAAAGCUAGAAGAGGCUUCAGCAAUUUUGUUUCACAUAAGCCUACUGCAACUGACAUAAUUCUGCCCACUCCUUUCCUCUUUCUUUCUCCUGCUGAAUUAAGUGAAAAUACAUCUGCACUUUGAACUCAAUUUGCAGCAACUGAAGUAAGCUGAUGUCAGGCUGGGGAAGUGGGAGGAGAGAGAAAUUGGAAAAGUUUUGAAAACCAGCUAGAAAUGGUGAGAUAACGGAAGAUUAAUAGGGACUGUGCCUGCCAAAUUGGG